rnacentral:lncRNA from 1 species
GGAUUACACGAUUAAGUUUACUUCAAUGAUGACAGAAGUGAGCGACUUAAUCCCAAGUUUGGCCAUUGCGGGGUACACAAACGGGCUGGUACCCUACUCCCCUCUGGCUCUGAAUCUCACGCUCCACAAAGUGGAGACCUUACCCGACCUCUUCCAACGAGCUCAGUCAUUCAUUGAGGUGGAAGAGCAGAAUGAAAACAAGCUAGUGGAACUCGAGAACACUAGCUUCAAAAAACAAAAGUUCGAGAGAAAGAGCUACAAUGACUCCUCGAACAGAUACACUAGCAAUGCGGCUGAUUCCUUCAGAAAGGAUUGGAAGCCUAAACAUGA